GCCUGGGUGGCUCAGUUGGUUGAGCACCCGACUUCGGCUCAGGUCAUGAUCUCGCGGUCCGUGAGUUCGAGCCCCGCGUCGGGCU
rnacentral:tRNA from 1 species